CCAUUUCAUUUUCUUUCAAUGCUUUCUUUAAUCAUUUUAUCUCCUCCUCUUCUCUGUUCCUCACAACCACAUAUUCUUCUUCUUCUUCAUUUUGACAGAAACACAAAGCUGUGUUACGGGCGGCCUCACAGAUCCCAUCUUCAAAUCUGUCAAAUCUUCACCAAAUGAAUUGGGUAUGGAAGGAGUAGGUGACGAAAUCGGCUAUCAUCAUCACACGAAAGAUUUCGAAUUUGGCUUUGUGUAAUCACCUCUCCCAUGAUUCCAGAGCUGAAAUCAUAGCUGGGUAUCUCUUGAUUUCGAGCAAAUCCCGUUUUAUUAGAACUGUUUGGAGGCUGGGUAACCCUUAAUUUCUCAUUGUGCGCGGCUCAACAAACUGCAGCGGUUAUUCCUGCAGGUCAGGACCACCAGGGUUGAGAUCGAGGCAAGGAGUGCAGCAGUGUUAGGUUCAUAACCUAUUUUUGUUAGCGUACUGCUGUUUUUGGUAUGCUCCUAGAGAGCGUGUACAUUUGUAUAUCAGUUCUCUCGAGUUUUGUACACACUUGUUGAUGUGAUAUUCGACUUAAGUGAUCGAGUCUUUAUUGACGUU